rnacentral:misc_RNA from 1 species
AGUUGUUAAUGCUCUCAACAACUUCCUUGGUGACUCUAAGGCCUUUUGGAGGAAUCGAAUAGAGGCAGCAUUUGCUUUGGCCGGUACAGCAUCAGAGGAAACUGAUUGGGCUGGCUUGACUCAUCUUGUUGCAUUUUAUAAAGCUCGAAGAUUUGAUGCCAAUAUUGGACUUCCCAAGCCAAAUGACUUCCGUGAUUUCCAGGAGUACUUUGUACUUGAGGUAAUGCUAUGAGG